UCGACGAUGAUGCCAGCUUGCUGGGUGGAUUAGUGGCGAACGGGUGAGUAACACGUGAGUAACCUGCCCCUGACUCUGGGAUAAGCGUUGSAMACGACGUCUAAUACUGGAUAUGAUCGCCGGCCGCAUGGUCUGGUGGUGGAAAGAUUUUUUGGUUGGGGAUGGACUCGCRRCCUAUCAGCUUGUUGGUGAGGUAAUGGCUCACCAAGGCGACGACGGGUAGCCGGCCUGAGAGGGUGACCGGCCACACUGGGACUGAGACACGGCCCAGACUCCUACGGGAGGCAGCAGUGGGGAAUAUUGCACAAUGGGCGAAAGCCUGAUGCAGCAACGCCGCGUGAGGGAUGACGGCCUUCGGGUUGUAAACCUCUUUUAGUAGGGAAGAAGCGAAAGUGACGGUACCUGCAGAAAAAGCACCGGCUAACUACGUGCCAGCAGCCGCGGUAAUACGUAGGGUGCAAGCGUUGUCCGGAAUUAUUGGGCGUAAAGAGCUCGUAGGCGGUUUGUCGCGUCUGCUGUGAAAUCCCGAGGCUCAACCUCGGGCUUGCAGUGGGUACGGGCAGACUAGAGUGCGGUAGGGGAGAUUGGAAUUCCUGGUGUAGCGGUGGAAUGCGCAGAUAUCAGGAGGAACACCGAUGGCGAAGGCAGAUCUCUGGGCCGUAACUGACGCUGAGGAGCG
rnacentral:rRNA from 1 species